AUGUGCCACCAGUGUGAAUUUUGAUCACAUGAUGAUUUCAAGUUUGAUAACUCCUAAUAGUCAGUGACCACCUCCUGCACAGGGGCAGACAAGUGCUGAGCAUUCUGAUCUAGAGUGGUACAAAGCAGCAUGGAGAGCAUAUGCUCAGAAGCUCGCAGGGCUGCUCCUGCCCUCUGGCUGGGACCACUUCUCCUCACUCACCAUCCUGGGCGUCUGGGCUCUGGCCAUGCGGGGAGCAUCCCAAGUCCCGCCACGUCUGGAAAGGAAGGAUGGAGUCUCCUUUGUCCGCUUCUGCUCUUGAAGAGGGAACCCCGACUGUCCUUCACGGACCAGAGAAUGUCAAGACUUGCCCAUCUCUCUCUGUUUGCUACCCCACGAUUGCAAGAUGACAGCAGCCACCAAAUCCCCCUGCUUCCUCAUCCACAUCGGACCAAGGCCUGAGAUUUGAGCGGAUGGAACACCGCUGGGCCAACCCCAGUGACCAGGAGAAUGGCCCGCUCCGAGGUCGUGAUUUACCUGACGUGCCCACUGUCCCAGGGGCUCUUGGAAUCCUGGAACUGAGGGUGGAGUCCCUACCGCCCACACGGCUACUCAGGGAAGGAGGGGUGGAGGAGGUGUUGGGGAGGCAUCCUGAAUUCCAUCCCACCCCCUGCAUGUCCAAGGGAACAGGGAAAAAUGAUUGUCUGACCUUAGAUUUUUACAGGGCAAAUUUGGAGUUCAUUGCUUUAGAAAAAUGGAGAGGAAGACCAUGAUAGGAUCUUUUUCUUUUUUGAAAAAUGCCAAAGUCUCCCUAUAAAAAAUAUAUACUCGGGGCACCUGAGUGGCUCAGUGGGUUGAGUGUUCGACUCUUGAUUUCUGCUUAGGUCAUGAUCUUGGGUUGUGAGAUCAAGCCCUUUGUUAGGCUUUGCACUCAACACAGAGUCUGCUUGAGGUUCUGGCCCUUUCUCUUUGCUCCUCUG
rnacentral:lncRNA from 12 species